UACGAAGGGGGCUAGCGUUGCUCGGAAUCACUGGGCGUAAAGCGCACGUAGGCGGAUCCUUAAGUCGGGGGCUCAACCCUCGGAUGCCGGUGGAUACUGUCGGGCUUGAGUACGGAAGAGGCGAGUGGAAUUCCCGGUGUAGCGGUGAAAUGCGCAGAUAUCGGGAGGAACACCUAUGGCGAAGGCAGCUCGCUGGGACGUUACUGACGCUGAGACGCGAAAGCGUGGGGAGCAAACAGG
rnacentral:rRNA from 1 species